rnacentral:rRNA from 1 species
UACGAAGGGGGCUAGCGUUGUUCGGAAUCACUGGGCGUAAAGGGCGCGUAGGCGGCUUUAUAAGUCGGGGGUGAAAGCCUGUGGCUCAACCACAGAAUUGCCUUCGAUACUGUAGAGCUUGAGACCGGAAGAGGUAAGUGGAACUGCGAGUGUAGAGGUGAAAUUCGUAGAUAUUCGCAAGAACACCAGUGGCGAAGGCGGCACUCUGGGCCGGUACUGACGCUGAGGAGCGAAAGCGUGGGGAGCAAACAGG